GACGAACGCUGGCGGCGUGCCUAAUACAUGCAAGUCGAACGCAGUGGGGACGGGUGAGUAACACGUGGGUAACCUCCCAUCAGAGGGGAUAACACUUGGAAACAUGUGCUACACCUAUCCUGAUGGAUGGACCCGCGGUGCAUUAGCUAGUUGGUGAGGUAACGGCUCACCAAGGCCCCGAUGCAUAGCGGACCUGGGAGGGAGAUUGGCCACACUGGAACGGAGAAACGGCCCAGACUCCUACGGGAGGAAGCAGGAGGGAAUCUUCGGCAAUGGACGAAAGUCUGACCGAGAAAGGCCGCGUGAGUGAAGAAGGUUUUCGGAUCGUAAAACUCUGUUGUUAGAGAAGCGGUAUCUAACCAGAAAGCAACGGCUAACUACGUGCCAGCCGCCGCGGUAAUAC
rnacentral:rRNA from 1 species